rnacentral:lncRNA from 1 species
CUAAGACAACAACCGGUAUUUUCAACAACAGCUAAUCAGCUAAGACAACAACAACAGGUGUUGGAGGAGUAUGGGGUUUUGGACAGUCCAGAGAUGGAGCUGAGCCCAGAGGACCCAUCUACAGGUGGUUCAUCGCCCCUUGAUUCAUCAUCUCCCUGGCCUGGUUCAUCACCUCUCCGGCCCCUCUCCCCAACGCCCAGGCCCUUCUUACCAACACCCAACCCACAAUCCAGGCGCACCCGUGCUCUCUGCCAUGCAACUCCAUCAACCUCCACCCCAUCUCCCCGAUCCAGCUCCAAUGCCCAGAAGAGGAAGACAGCUGAGGAUCCUUUGGACACUGACAUUAUGCAGCGGGUGCAUGACUUAAAAAAAACGGCAGCAGGAGUUACAGAAACAGCAGCAGUGUCCAGCAAAGGCCGUCUACGAUGUCAUGGUACCAUGGAUGAUGUCUAUUCCUGCUGAUCAACGUCUCCCGUUUGUCUCACCCCUAAACCUGUUGUGUGCUUUUUUUCUUAUUCAUACGUUAUGGUGGCGAGUAACUUACUUGGGGGGGUUGCAUGUUUUUUGUACUUAUUUCCUCAUUCAUAUGUUACUGGUUUUUACUUAGUUUUUUCUCUUAUUUUCGACUUUCAUCACACUUUUCACCUGUGUAUUGCAUUGUACUAUUUUCCUCUUGUGAUAGUAAAUAAAUAUCUAAAAGGAC